GGCGUGGCAGACCUACUGCAACCCCACCCCCGUUCCACAGUCCUCCUUGCUCACUUGUCAGCCCUUCACUGCCACGCACCUCUGCGUUUCGCCUUCCUUUUUUCUUCUUUGGCUUUAAACCGAUUCAUCACUGCUUGUUCUUCGCACGCGCACCCACGCUCGCUUUAUUUUCUCUUGUCGCUCUUUCUUCAACGCAUUGUCUCGCAACACGCAGAAGGCGCAGCCAGUACAGACGCACACUAAAGGACGCAAAUACAUAUACCAUUGUCCAUCGCCUGCGCACCCACUGCUGUGUGCAGUAGCGGUCUCUCUCUCCUUUUCCUUGACGUCGCAUCACACUCCGCACCGUCCUCCUAAGAAUUUUAGCAAAAACGGGAUCCUCUUUUCUCCACGGGCAGCAGUCUCGACAACGUGCGGUUCCUUUCUCUUUUUCUGUCCAUUCGUUCCCUGUAAGUCCCCCUGUGUAUAUGCGUGUCUCUGCGCGUAUGCGGCUGUGUGGAUUCUUUUUCCUUGUGCUGUUCCGUUAUUCCCCAUUUCUGUAGGUGUCGUGCCAUCGUCUAGUUCCACACACACACAAAAAGGAAGCUGCGCAGGCGCGUUCCCACCAAUCGUAGGUAUUACAGUCAUCGGGCAGGCCGACAUCAUGCAGCAACACCACUCGCAGGGCUGCAUUAUGCCGGCGGAGAACCAAGCAGACGUCAGCGAGUGCGCACAUCUGAACAAGGGCGAGGCCAAACAGGAGUCGGGCCACGCUACACGUCGGCAUGAGCCGCAAUCGAUGUACGGCGAGGUGAAUGGCGCGUCGUCGUCUGAGUGCAGUGAGGCGAUGCCGAAGAGGAUGAGGAGUCUCACGAUCCGGAAAGUAAAGUGGGCGACUCGCCGUACGCCGAUCCUGAUCGUCUGUCGAUUCUGUGGACCACGGACCAGGAUACGGUGCUGAUGCACUCCAGCCAGGUGCCGCUCGAGCGGACUCGCACGCGACUAGAGAUGCCGCUUCUCGGCGUCUCGGAAGCGAUCCGCGUGCUCAAGGCGUGCAGCGCCUUGCAGUAUCGCGCCAGUAGCUGUCCCGUAACGGACUUCCCGAAGAAGGUGCUCGCAGCUGAUCAUGCUCUCCGGCGCAGCAUUGGCGAGGCCUUCGUCAGUUUCGCAGAGCGGGAUGCGGCGCGGAUGGUGAAUCUUUGCUCGCUGGCAGACAAGGGAGUCACGGCCUCUGACGAGCUGGUGCGCAAUGCCGUGAUGGUGCUCCAAGCUCUGAUGCACGACGACGAAGCCCUCCACGACUUGGAGUAGUUCCGUCGGCUCGUCUCGACCCACCGCGCGGAGAUCACUAGUCAGCAGUGGCAGCACGACAUCAUCACCGCGCUGUGGUCUCUAGCAGUCAGCUUCCUGCACCGCCCCGAGGUCGUCAUGGCGUCCUACGGCCACUCUGUGAAUCACAUUGUGCAGUGUGAGAGGCGCUCUACGUGGCACUGCUGCGUUUUCGCGGCGGAAGGCCUGCCGGUAACACCCCGGCGCCAGCCAGCGCCGCUGGUAAAGCUGAGCUGACGGCGGCGAAGACACAGUUGCCACACACCGUAGCUUCCAGCAGACUUCGCGCUUCAUGCGUGUGCACACCUCUGCAGUGGAAGCGCGAGACGAAGCCCAUACACACGCCCGAGUACGAAGAUGGUGCAGCACAUAUGCAGCGGCCCUCCGUCUCGCAUCGAGGUUCGAUGAUGUCACUCGACCUUCCGCAGUGUCUAUCAUCGUGUGCGUCCUCCACGCCGUCGAUGCGCAGAAACUUUGCCUCGAGAUUUCGACCCAGCGGCGCGACGCCCAGUCGCUCCUCCGUCGGCGCGGAUCAGAAGACGAGCACAGCGGCACCGAGAGGGAACGGCCGAUAGGCGAGCACGUCAUCGUCCGCCGAUAAGCCCCGGCUGCUUCCUGAAAAUUUGCGUCAGCUGAGCCUGCUGCUCCCCGCCAGUCUUUUGGUGGCGCGCUACUCAACGGCGCUGAAGUAGAGUAACCCGCCGCGCACAUUGCUGGUUCAUUCGCACCGGACGUAGUGAUGUGCGACAGGCAUCGACGCUUCGUGGUAUGCUAGAAUGAAGAGGUGCUACAGCCGCAUCUCAACUCGUCAGUGGUCUCUCUGUUUUGUUCCGCGUGUCUGGUUGCUCCGGUACGUGUGGUGUUUUUUUUCCCCCUUUCUCAUUCUUGAAUUUCCAUUGAUCGUAUUCUUUCUCUUUUGCAUGCUUUUGCAGCGCUCCUCUGUCUGUGCGCUGCACAACGCCGCGAUACACGCGCAAAGCACGCGGGCGCGAUAGCCGGGGAUUAGGGAGACGAACAACAACAACAAAAAGAGACUGCUCUGCCGCGUGCUGAGCGCAGGUUGCCUAGGGAGAUCCCCGUGCUUGCCUUUCUGUCUUCCUCGCCACCCUUCACAAUCACUUGCAUCUCUACCCCACUGUCUUCAUGGCGGGCAAGGCAGUGGGCUGCUUUUGAGAAAAACGGUCUGCCCAAAGGGCGUGACAACGUUACACUUGUAUAUAGGUGUGUCUCGUCUGCAGAGUAGCGGCCGUCUCACUUCUGUCUCAUGCAUGUGUUCGUUUGUUGUUUACUGCUCUUCUCUCCUAUUUUUUCUCAAAAUCUCGUUUUCGCACACUUGUCUCUUUGCUAGCUUGCCGUUAUGGGAUGCGCGGUUCGUGCGCCAGAGUCUACUGUGCGUGCGCUUGUGUGUGUGCGUGUGAAUGUGUGCGCCGCAUGCGCUACAUACUUCUCUCUUCUUGAGGGUCCUGGUACGUUCAUGCUUUUUCUUUUUUUUUCUUCGCCCCUCUUCAUCUUCAUUGUUGUUGGAUGGCGGAAGGCAGUGCACGUACACGCCGACACGUGCAGAGGAGAGGCAAGAGACGACCCCACUCACCCAUUCACUCACGCGAACCCCUCCCGUCGCCUCAGCUGCGCCUCCUUCUCUGCCACCCGCUUCCGGUCCUUUGCUGUUCUCCCUGCGUUCGGGACUAGAUGUUUAACCUUUGUUAUUGCUGGGUGAUUGGUGUGUUAGCGUCGCUCUCUCUCUCUCGCACACUUAUGCAUUUUCCCCUCGCGCUUGAUGUCGUUUUUCUUUUUGGUUUUGUUCGCCUUGAUUCGCUUUCCCACGCCGCGUAUGCGCCUCUUUCCGUAUCCGUUCGCUUCCGUGGCUGCUUGCAUGCAUCUGCUCAUCACAUGCCGCCCCCGCUUUCAUUUUCGCGCUUCUUCAAACAACAAGAAAACAGAAGGUGCCCCGUCUCUCUGCCUUUCACGUUCGCGUUUCGGAUCGCCUCGACGGGACGGGGGAAGGUGAGCAACAGGAAGUUCCGCUUUUUCCGCUUCUCAUGUACAUAUAUUCUGUGGAUCUCGUAUGCCUCCUGUGGUGAGUUUCUCUUCUCUUUUCGAUGUAUUUGCUCUCAUGUGUUGGUGAGCUGUCUUCUUUCGAUUCCUCUACACAGGCGCGCCCGUGCGAAGGUGUGUCUGCUCGAUUUCUCGCCAACAGUUUGGUGUAUGCCAGCGCUGCCUUUCGCGGAUGCACCUCUACGCACGCGCGCACGACAAACUUGAAUAUUGUCCCUCCUCUUGUUGCCUGAUGCUCAGCUUCUGUCGUCUUCUUUUUUUUUUGUUUCGACCUCUUCACCAUUACCGAUCUCUGUUAUCCUCUCCGUUGGACUCUUCCUCGUGGGCGCGCGACGUGACCGGCGUUUUUCUUCUCCCCUUUUGUUUUUGUUUCCUUUUGUAUGCGUGUGUGCGUGUGUCUUUUGGUUGCAAUUCCUUCUCUGCCUCUCUGUCUCUCGAUUUAGUCCCCCCUUCUCCCCGCCCUGGUUGUGGAUGCCGGGUCUCCUUCCUUUUCCACUCGUCCUUCUUCCUCUUUUUUUUAUCCGUUGUUGGGGUGUGGGAGGGGGGGGGCGGUUCGCCCUGAACACCUUACGCGUGCCCCUCUCUUUCCUUUGUUUUGUGCUGCUUCUUUGGUUUUGCGUGCGUGUUCGCUUCUCCACGCGAGACAUAUCCCCGGCACACACGCACGUACAUAUCGGACGGCGAAUAGUUACAGCGUGCGCAUUUGGUGGCUCGAGGUGCGUCUCUUCUCUGCGGAUGAGUUUACGGAUCGCAGCACGCAAAAAAAAAAAACAAGGAGGAAGCAAGGGCAGCCAGGAACAACAGCUGGGCUCGACGGCUCCCCACCUUUUUUUUUUUUUCGCUAAUGCCCUUUGCCGCUCUUUGGCUGCCUGGAGGCCAAGGAAACACGGGCGCUCUCCAAGUGAAGAGAACAAGGUUAUACACACCUGCUAACAUGCGCCGAUGAGCAUAUCGGGUUUCCCCUCUUGCUCGUGUCGACGUGUCAGACAUCUGUUGCACGCCGCACCUCGCAUGAACGGGUGAUUCCCUGAAAGGAAGGAGCGAAAACAAAAAGUAACGAGGAUGGAAACGUUUGCUAAAGCACAUACGCGCGCACACACACGCACACACAAACACACUCUGGGCACCUCCCAUGAUGCCCUUAUGCGAUGCCCUGCG
rnacentral:misc_RNA from 1 species